rnacentral:rRNA from 1 species
GAUGAACGCUAGCGGGAGGCCUAAUACAUGCAAGUCGAACGGUAACAGGGUAGCAAUACCGCUGACGAGUGGCGCACGGGUGAGUAACGCGUACACAACCUGCCUUAUACUGGAGCAUAGCCUUGGGAAACUAAGAUUAAUUCUCCAUAACAUUAUGAAACGGCAUCGUUUUAUAAUUAAAAUUCCGAUGGUAUAAGAUGGGUGUGCGUCUGAUUAGCUAGUUGGUGAGGUAAAGGCUCACCAAGGCAACGAUCAGUAACUGGUCUGAGAGGAUGAUCAGUCACACGGGCACUGAGACACGGGCCCGACUCCUACGGGAGGCAGCAGUAGGGAAUAUUGGACAAUGGGCGCAAGCCUGAUCCAGCCAUCCCGCGUGAAGGAUUAAGGCCCUCUGGGUUGUAAACUUCUUUUCUCUGGGAAUAAAAGUGGAUUCAUCCCGCCUUGAAGGUACCAGAGGAAUAAGCACCGGCUAAC